UUUGCUGCUUAUUAAUAGUUAGGUUGUUAAGUUUAGAUAUGGGAUCGGGUUAAGAGAUCUAGAACAUGGUCAUACAGAAUAAGGCAUUAAAUAUGCUUUAU